GUGAGCCUACGGGGGGCAGCAGUGGGGAAUAUUGCACAAUGGGCGCAAGCCUGAUGCAGCGACGCCGCGUGCGGGAUGGAGGCCUUCGGGUUGUAAACCUCUUUUGUUCAAGGACAAGGCACGGUCUUUGGCCGUGUUGAGUGGAUUGUUCGAAUAAGCACCGGCUAACUACGUGCCAGCAGCCGCGGUAAUACGGAGGGUGCAAGCGUUAUCGGGAUUUAUUGGGCGUAAAGGUCGC
rnacentral:rRNA from 1 species